rnacentral:rRNA from 1 species
UGCGCAGGUGGCCAGGUGUGUGAGGCGUGAAAGCCCGGGGCUCAACCCCGGAAUUGCACCUCAAACUACAUGGCUAGAGCAUUGGAGAGGGGAGCAGAAUUCACGGUGUAGCAGUGAAAUGCGUAGAUAUCGUGAGGAAUACCAGAGGCGAAGGCGGCUCCCUGGACAAUUGCUGACACUCAGGCACGAAAGCGUGGGGAGCAAAAGGGAUUAGAUACCCCUGUAGUCCACGCCCUAAACGGUGCACACUAGGUCUUGGCGGAUUCGACCCCCCCAGGGCCCAAGCUAACGCGUUAAGUGUGCCGCCUGAGGACUACGGCCGCAAGGCUAAA